rnacentral:rRNA from 1 species
AGAGUUUGAUCCUGGCUCAGGACGAACGCUGGCGGCGUGCCUAAUACAUGCAAGUCGAGCGAGUUUGUCCCUUCGGGGACAGGCUAGCGGCGGACGGGUGAGUAACACGUAGGUAACCUGCCUGUAAGAUCGGGAUAACUAUCGGAAACGAUAGCUAAGACCGGAUAACUGGUUUUCUCGCAUGAGAGAAUCAUGAAACACGGAGCAAUCUGUGGCUUACAGAUGGGCCUGCGGCGCAUUAGCUAGUUGGUGAGGUAACGGCUCACCAAGGCGACGAUGCGUAGCCGACCUGAGAGGGUGAACGGCCACACUGGGACUGAGACACGGCCCAGACUCCUACGGGAGGCAGCAGUAGGGAAUCUUCCGCAAUGGACGCAAGUCUGACGGAGCAACGCCGCGUGAGUGAUGAAGGUUUUCGGAUCGUAAAGCUCUGUUGCCCUAGACGAACAGCAAGGAGAGUAACUGCUCUUUGUGUGACGGUAUAGGAGAAGAAAGCCCCGGCUAACUACGUGCCAGCAGCCGCGGUAAUACGUAGGGGGCAAGCGUUGUCCGGAAUUAUUGGGCGUAAAGCGCGCGCAGGCGGUCAUUUAAGUUUGGUGUUUAAGCCCGGGGCUCAACCCCGGUUCGCAUCGAAAACUGGGUGACUUGAGUGUAGGAGAGGAAAGUGGAAUUCCACGUGUAGCGGUGAAAUGCGUAGAGAUGUGGAGGAACACCAGUGGCGAAGGCGACUUUCCGGCCUAUAACUGACGCUGAGGCGCGAAAGCGUGGGGAGCAAACAGGAUUAGAUACCCCGGUAGUCC